AUCCUUUUGUAGUUCGUAAGCAUCAUGAUUGGGUGUUCAUGCUAUUGUGUGACAUGUGCCUCCCUUAAACCUUUUUACGACCAUGGCACAUUACUCAUCUGGCG
ensembl:snoRNA